rnacentral:tRNA from 1 species
UCCUUGGUGGCUUGGAGAGUAAAGCAUCUGCCUGCAAUGCAGGAGACCUGGGUUCAAUCCCUGGGUCGGGAA